rnacentral:rRNA from 1 species
UACGUAGGGUGCAAGCGUUGUCCGGAAUUAUUGGGCGUAAAGAGCUCGUAGGCGGUUUGUCGCGUCUGCUGUGAAAACUGGGGGCUCAACCCCCAGCCUGCAGUGGGUACGGGCAGACUAGAGUGCGGUAGGGGAGAUUGGAAUUCCUGGUGUAGCGGUGGAAUGCGCAGAUAUCAGGAGGAACACCGAUGGCGAAGGCAGAUCUCUGGGCCGUAACUGACGCUGAGGAGCGAAAGCAUGAGGAGCGAACAGG